UGAGGAAUAUUGGACAAUGGGCGCAAGCCUGAUCCAGCCAUGCCGCGUGCAGGAUGACGGUCCUAUGGAUUGUAAACUGCUUUUGUACAGGAAGAAACAGUUCUACGUGUAGAACCUUGACGGUACUGUAAGAAUAAGGAUCGGCUAACUCCGUGCCAGCAGCCGCGGUAAUACGGAGGAUCCAAGCGUUAUCCGGAAUCAUUGGGUUUAAAGGGUCCGUAGGCGGUUAGAUAAGUCAGUGGUGAAAGCCCAUCGCUCAACGGUGGAACGGCCAUUGAUACUGUCUGACUUGAAUUAUUAGGAAGUAACUAGAAUAUGUAGUGUAGCGGUGAAAUGCUUAGAGAUUACAUGGAAUACCAAUUGCGAAGGCAGGUUACUACUAAUGGAUUGACGCUGAUGGACGAAAGCGUGGGUAGCGAACAGGAUUAGAUACCCCCGUAGUCCCUGAGCGGGCUGGCAAGGCG
rnacentral:rRNA from 1 species